AGGGGAUGUCUAAGGAUGAGUUGGAGCACACUCGAGAUAAAAAAAUAAAAAAUGACAAAGAAACAAAUUCUGUUGUAGUAGGUGCGGGAAAUAAAGAAAAUGGAACAGAUGUGCCCGGUGUAGAUGAGAAUGCGGAUGUAGUUAUGUCAGAGAACGAAAAGGAAGAAGAUAAAAAAGAUGAUGAAGAAAAAGAAGAUAAAAAAGAUGAUGAAGAAAAAGAAGAUAAAAAAGAUGAUGAAGAAAAAGAAGAUAAAAAAGAUGACGAAGAAAAAGAAGAUAAAAAAGAUGAUGAAGAUGACGAAGAAGAAGAAGUUGUAGCCGAAACANNNNNNNNNNCUUUUAUAAUAGAAUCAGUUCAGUAUAGUAAUAAUGUUUGCGGGGGGAGGACGCAUAUACAUAUGAGUACAUAAGCAUGUAAAUACAUACACUUAUGUUCACAUAUUAGUUUACAUACAUAUGUACAUAAAUAAAUGCAUUAGUGUGUUAUAAUUAUAACUGUAUCAAAUUAAAAAAUGACGUUUUUCAAAACUUUUAUCUUACUAUUCUUUUUUUAUGUGUGUUGCCAUUUAACAACAUGUACACACUUUACAAUAAAACCUUUUGAGAGAGACUGUUUCCACAUGAGCGUUAACAAACAUAAUGUUAUUGCUGGGUCGUAUGAUAUAAUUGAAAGGUAUGCCUAUGUAUCUAUAAGUAUUCUUACUAUUAAUAAUAAAAAAAAAGAUAUUUUUUUCAAGUCAGAUAAAAACCAAGAUAAGUUCGAAGUUAAGGUGGAGAAGGCGGGGUUGUACUAUUUUUGUUACGAUAACAAACGAAACAACGAAAUAACACUUAUGUUUACCCUUCGAAUACAAGAGGGUUCUAACGCUGAAGACUCUGAAUUCAGUACCGUUGAUGAUAUGGAGAAAAUAACUUUCAAAUCAUCUAAGUUAUAUUAUCAGUUUUUGGAUGUGGUUGAUGAACAAGAAAGGAUUUUAGAAAAGGCAGACGUAUAUAAACAGGCCAAUGACAAAAUGAAUUAUAAAUUAAUUGUGUGGUCGGAGAUAGAAAUAAUCAUACUAAUAAUAUUAACAUUAGUCCACAUUUAUUAUAUAAAAUCAUUUUUCGAAAUUAAAACAAUAGUAUAGCUAUUCGUUCAUUAUUUUUUUUUUUUCUUUUUUUUCUUUUUUUUUUUGUUUGUGAAAAAAAUACAUAUAAAGUUAAUAUGUAUAGACAUUUAAUUUACAUAUAUAUAUAUAUGUGCAUAUGGGUCUACAUACAUAUGUGUGUACAACAUAUAACAUAUAAACAUAUAUGUAAAUAUAUAUACACCUUAGUUCGUGUGGUUGAUAUAUAUAUAUAUAUAUAUAUAUAUAUAUAUAUAUAUAUGCAUGUCCACAUAAUUUACAUUUUUAUGUAUACACAGAUACGCUGUUUAGAAAAUUAAUUGUUUUUGUGUUAUCCAUAUCAUUUUAUUUUUUAAAAUUUCAUUAUGAUGUUCUUAUAUUUUGAAGAAAAAGAAAAAGAAAAAAAUUUAAAGCACUAUAUAAAGCAUUAUAUAAAGCAUUAUAUAAAGUAUUAUAUAAAGUAUUAUAUAAAGUAUUAUAUAAAGUAUUAUAUUGUAAUGAUAGAGAUAUUUC
ensembl:lncRNA